rnacentral:tRNA from 1 species
AUCUGUAGCUCAGCUGGAUAGAGCGUCAGACUCCGACUCUGAAGGCCGUGGGUUCGAAUCCCGUCAGAUGC